AGCAGCCGCGGUAAUUCCAGCUCCAAUAGCGUAUAUUAAAGUUGCUGCAGUUAAAAAGCUCGUAGUUGAAUUUCGGGAUCAAUAUGUUGGUCGUGCCUUGGUACGUACUAGCUUAUUGGUUUCUCCCUUCUGACGAACCAUGAUGUCAUUAAUUUGGUGUCAUGUGGAAUCAGGACUGUUACCUUGAAAAAAUUAGAGUGUUUAAAGCAGGCUCACGCUUGAAUACAUUAGCAUGGAAUAAUGAGAUAGGACGUUUGAUUCUAUUUUGUUGGUUUCUAGGAUCGACGUAAUGAUUAAUAGGGAUAGUUGGGGGCAUUAGUAUUCAAUUGUCAGAGGUGAAAUUCUUGGAUUUAUUGAAGACUAACUACUGCGAAAGCAUUUGCCAAGGAUGUUUUCAUUAAUCAAGAACGAAAGUUAGGGGAUCGAAGACGAUCAGAUACCGUCGUAGUCUUAACCAUAAACUAUGCCGGCUAGGGAUCGGAUGAUGUUAAUUUUUAAUGA
rnacentral:rRNA from 1 species